AACGAUACGAUUAAAAUUAUAUUUUAAAAAAAUCGUUAUUGGAUUCAAUCGAAAUUGGAUUGAAUUUUACAAUUCGAUUGGAUUAAAAUUUAUUUCGAGAAAAACCAAAAUGAAAAUCCGAUCAGAUUGUUUAAAAUUAAAAAAAAAAUGAAAUCCAUGAAUUUCUAAAUCUAAUUCAAUAAAUAUCGAUCUCCUUCACCUCUCAUUUUUUAAUUUUUACAAAUGCCUCUCUCUUUCGCUCAAAGUCUCAAUGUUAAAAUUGAAAAAAAAAAUCUCAAAAAAUUAAAAUAACUCAAACACACACAAAGCAAUCGCCACCUAAUCUUCCUCCUCCUCCCCUUCACUGUUCUACUCACAAACAAACACAUUCUGUAGCCGGCCAACUGCUGUUAUCUUCUUCUUCUUCACACAAACACACGCACUGCAACCAUUGCCGUCUAUCGUCCCUGGCUCGCCGCUGCAUGUCAACCAAUCGCGACUGCCUCGUUCGUAGAAGGUCAGCUUCUAGUUCCAGUUCAAGGUGUCUCUAUUUCAUUCAGUUUUGUGGUUCUGUUGUAUUACUUUGUUUGGUUGAUGGGAAAAUGCAGAAAAAAAUAAAAAUAGAAGUUCUUGCUAACCCUAAUUUGUAAUCCUAAUCAAACCGAACCGAACCAAACCAAAUUAAAUUCGAUUUGAUUCAGUUUGGGUUUUAAUUUCAAAUCUGAUUGGGUUGAAUUUUUCAACCUAAACGGAUUGUAACCAAAACCAAAACCCGGAUAACCCGAACUAAAACCCAAUUUACCCAUCCCUACAAUCUACAUAUCGCAUUGCGCCUUUGACCAUCGCACAUAUUUAGGUUUCAUCUCCAAUACCGUUUUAACUAAAAUUUUUAUUGUCUUCAAUUAUUAUUUUUAUCUAUUAAUUCAAACUUAUUACUUUAAGAAUCCACAAUAUUUUAUGAAUGCAAUAAUAACAUUCACUAUAAAGCCCACAACAAUUUCAAAACUAAGAUUAAAACAUUAAAAAACUCAUAUUGUGUAAAAACAUACGCAAACCUUAACUUCUUACUCUCUGAUUGAUGAUUAUAUUUUCAGUCAUGUAUUAUUACAUUCGUUUGAUGAAUUUAGUAAUUUGUUGAUAAUGAUGUGGUUUAGUAAUUGGGUGAGGUGGUGAAGCUUGAUGAUUUUUUGAGAGCAGUGUUGGUUUGGUAAUUUAUUAAAAGUGAUGUGAGCUAUUCGAUAAAAAAAAACUUAUAUAUGGCUAAGUUAUAAUAAUAAAAUAAAAAAUAAAAAUAAGGACUCCUUUAAUUUUGGUACUAUUUUUGUAAAUUUUCGUCAACGUAGAGUCUUUGCUCCUACGCUCACUGCCCCUGGUUUUCUUGUUCAUUAUUUUUUUUUGUGCACCAAAUUAUUAAGAAUAAUAAUAUUUUUAAUUGUGGACUGACAUACAUAAUAUCUUUAUACAUUCACUUGUGUUAUUAUUAAAUAAUUUUAUUUCUUAUCAUUAAUCCACCUCGCAAAUGAUAACACAUCAUAAAUCUAAAAUGUAAGUUACGCAAGAGGGGAGUGAAUUGAGAUUUUAUAAUUUAUGCUAAACAAUCUUUGCAACAAUUCAAUCUAAUGCCCUAACGGAAUUAAAAACAAUAAAUUCAAUAUAGUACAAUAAUAAAAGAGUAAGAGAAGAUAAAACAAACACAAGGAUUUUUACGUGGUUCGGCAAUUCCUGCCUAUGUUCACGCCUCCAAGCCAACCAAGUUCGAGAAUUUCACUAUCCAAACCUCUCAAGGCUUCAAGUUCUUACAAUUGACUUUCAAUGUGUCAAUGAACCUUUAUAAUCAAGAGAUUAUCUCCCCAAUCUCUUUACCUCAAGUGUUUUUCACACUUAUACACUCACAGUUUGAUAAGAAAUGAAAAUUACAAUAAAAACUCUCUUUAAGAGUGAAUAUGCAAAUAAUAGCACAAAAACGAUUCAAUAAAUGAUGAUUUUGCGAUGUGGAAGCUCAAUAUAUGUUAUAUGAUCUUGUUUAUGUUUGCAUUAGUCCUUAAAAUGAAGUUAGAGUUGAAUUUUAUAGUUAAAGCCUGAAAACUAGUCAUUAUAGAUAAAUUCCCGAAACCAAGCGGUUAGCAGCUUGAUUUCUCCAGCUAGCCGCUCAUAACAUUGAUAUUAUUGUUAAAUUUGAAUUGCUACAGUAAUACUGUUCACUAAAAUAAUACUUUGACCUAAAAUUUUUUUAUAAUUAUAUUAUGACCCAAAACGUCAUAAAACUUUAUAAAUAUGUCUAAUUUCAGAAUUUUUAAAUAAUGAUUGUCAUUCUAAAACUUUAUGAAAUUAUGAUAUGGUUCUAAAUAUAUUAUUAUUUUUCAAAUAAGUCCUCUUUCAAAAUUUAAUAUAAUACCCAUAUUUUUUAAAAUUUUCAAAAUCUUUCACUUUAGUCCAAAAUUUGAAAAGUUCUCAAGCCGCUAGCCUCAUGCGGUUAGGCGCUCACUCUAGGUUCAAUUUUGGAUUUCAAAUGUUUGGAUUAUAUUUGGAUCCUCAAACUUUUAUAAAUUAUGAUAUGACCCAAAACAUUUUAAAUAUUUUCAAAAAAGUCCAACUCCGGAAUUCAAAAUAAUGCUUAUUAAAUUCAAAGAUUGCAAAACUUUUCAUUUAAGUGCAAAUUACUCAAAUCCACAAAAUACUCUAUCUUAUAAAUAUAAAACUUUUUAGCUUAUGAAAAAUAAUUAUUUAAAUUAAUCUUUUGAGCUUCUCAAAUGCUAAAUCAUGCAUCAAUUAAAUCAUACUGACUUUACAAGAAUUUAUCACAAUAAUUUAUCCGUUGAGGUCUAAACUUUAUUCUUGAUUUCGCCGUUAUCCAUUGAAUGUCUUGAACUUGAUUUCACUUGCAUAAAUAUUAGCCUUUAAAAUCUAGUGAAAAUAUGAAAUACAAUAUUUAUUAAAUUUACUGAAGGCACAUAUUUGUUAUCAUCAAAAUUACAUUAUGUAUAGCCAUUUAGGCUAACAAAAUCGUAUCAUUUGAGACGUCGAUUAUGUAUUCUUAACUAUAUAUGUGUUGUAUUACUCAAUUAUUAAUCAUGAUCUAUCUUAGGGCAAGUUUGUAAUACUGUUAGUUUUUAAAAUAAUUGUCGUUGGCUAUACUAUAUAAAUACUCAGUUGUGAAGAAAAUCAAUUAAAUGUUUGGUAAUUUUUAUUAUUUUUAAAAGUGCUAUGACUUACGAGUUUUAAGAGUAGUCAAAUUUAUUUGGUUAAUAAUAACCCUUUGGUAAAAACUUACUAUUAACAGUUGUAAAAAAAUAAAUGAUUGAAGUGGACAUAAUGUUAAAUAAAAUUUAUUUACACAUUUAUAAACACGUAUGUAAAAUAUUUUAAUUGUUUAUGCAUAAAAAUUAUAUUUAAAAUAAAUAUUUUAUAUUAAUCAUUUUAUUUUAUUAUAAUAAUCUAUUUAAAAUUAAUGAUUUUUUUGUCUAAUUAAUAAAGAUAAUUUCAGAUUUUUAUAAUAUAUUUAAAGAUAUAUAUAUAGUGAUUCUUAUAAUCAAACCCUUUCUUUUUUUUUUUGUAAAAAUUUGUUGUAGUAUAAAAUUAUUGUCAAAAACAAUUUUAAAAAAUUAACAAAUACCAAAAUUAACUUUUAAUUUUUUAAAAUCACUUUUAAACCUCCCAAAAAUAAUUUCAAAAUGACCCGUAAUCGUUCGUGAUUAAUGCAAUAUAACUGUGUAUUUGUAUUAACAAUCACCAAAGCAAAUUAAUUUCAACAUUUACGGGCAAGGUUAUUCUAUACAGAUUUUCAAGUUAUCCGCACUAUAAAACUGGGGAUUACACUAUAAUUAUAAUAAUUUAGACUCUAUUUGGAAUAAAAUGCUUAAAAAGAAAAAAAGAAAAAACAGCAAUUGAAUAACUUACAAAGAUAUAUGAAAUUGGAAAGGAUUCUUUGAGCGCAGUGUUAAGCAUGCAUGCCCUUUCAUAUACAAACAAAUCAAAAUAAUUGCCCAGCUCACAACAUUAACACAAUCUACUUUUCUAACAUUUUCCCCGUCUGCUGCAAAAUCCAGAAGUUGCUUCUUGGUUGAAGUUAUGUAGACCGAGUUCAACUGGCGCUCGGCCUCUCUGUCUAUACAACAAUAUAAACUGCAAUCUUCUCGCUCAAAUAAUUUACAGCCACCACCCUUCAUUAACACUAUGUGCAGAGACUGAGAUGCGAGUACAAGUCUUAUACCUAGUCAAGGCUCUGGAUCUUCCUGAACAACCUCAGGCAAGGACGGUGAGGAUGCACCACUCAUUUUGCUGGGCACUGGUGUGUUUCUUCGUGAUUGGCGUUUCGUGAGGACUAACACAUUUUCAUUUUCCUCCUUUUCGAAAAGCGCAUCAUCAUCAUCUUCACCUUUAAAGACGGGAUGAAUAUAUGCAUUUCGAAGAUAACCUUUCAAGUUAAGGUUUGGUUCCCUAGCACGCUCCAAGGUGUCUUUCAUCAUUGCUUCCUGAAAAUCAUAACAGAAGAAAACCAAGUCAGGAACAGUUGUCUAGGUAAUCUUGGUCAGUCAUCAACAGAAACAAAUGUGGAGAGAAAUUUUCAAGAUGUCAAGCACUAACAAAC
rnacentral:lncRNA from 1 species